rnacentral:rRNA from 1 species
UACUAGAGUAGCACUCGCAUAUCAAUAAGCGGAGGAAAAGAAACUAACAAGGAUUCCCCUAGUAACGGCGAGUGAAGCGGGAAGAGCUCAAAUUUGAAAUCUUAAAGGGUUUCCCUUUACGAAUUGUAGUUUAAAGAAGUGUUUUCUGUUGAGGUUUUGGUAAAAGUUCUUUGGAAUAGGACAUCAUAGAGGGUGAGAAUCCCGUAUUUGACCUUUACUUUCAACUUUGUGAUACACUUUCAAAGAGUCGGAUUGUUUGGGAAUGCAGUCCAAAAUGGGUGGUAAAUUUCAUCUAAAGCUAAAUAUUGGCGGGAGACCGAUAGCGAACAAGUACCGUGAGGGAAAGAUGAAAAGAACUUUGAAAAGAGAGUUAAACAGUACGUGAAAUUGUCAAAAGGGAAGCGUUUGACACCAGUGUUGUUUUUCUGAAAAUCAAUUAAAGAACUGUUUAUGCUAAGUUGUUUAGACUUUAUCAGCUAUCUGUUUAGUUUUGAGCUUUUCUUUAAUGCACUUUUCAGUUAACAAGUCAACAUCAAUUUCUUUUGCUGUAAAAAAGCUUGAGGAAGGUGGCUUGAGAUUCGUCUUAAGUGUUUAUAGCCUCUUGCCUAUGCAGUCGGAGAGAUUGAGGUCUGCAGCGUAGAUCCUUCGGGGCUAAAUGCAUUUGUGCUAAGUUAUAGCAUUUUAUAGACAACUUGUUGACUAUGAUUUGUCUUGUAGCUUACUCGCUUAUGUUAUUUUACCUACGCUUAGGAUGUUGAGUAGCGACAUACGCAC